CCCCGCACCUGCACCUCCUGUUCCAAAUCUCCUUACAUAGUUAGCCACAAAUCAGGGCCCUAUUGGAGUCACAUGGUGAAACUGUUGUCUUCAGGCUGACAACUAACUGGAAGAAGGGAUACUAGCUUUUGAGAAUCUCGGUUAUAACCCAAGAGCUGAGAUAAGACAAUGCUAUCUACUAGUGAUUAUUUCGCAGUACCUCCACAUUUGAAGAAUGUCUUCCUGAGACUGUAUCCAUGUGACUUGACGGACACUUGGAAAGCACCUGAUCACAAAAGUAAUAUAUUUGCAGUCAAUCCCAAAGGUUAAAGUUGGAUGCAGAAUGAGAAGUUUUGGGAGAUGAGGCUUGGGCACAGCAUGGAAAACAAGAUGAAUUAACUUCUCAGGCUGCAUAAGUAUUCACAUUUCUGAUUGAGUUGCAGCUGGUUUCUUCUUUUGACCUCAAAAGCCAUUCGGAAACUUUGGAAGAACUUCAUGGCUUCUUUUAAGUUUUGCUUUUGGUUGUAAGGAGGGAUAGCAUUGGACUUAAUAGAAGUGGCUUUACUUGGUCUACAGUAUCAAUAAUCUUAUCACAGAUCCACCCCUGUGGUUUCUCGUUCAGACUCUGUGGGUCUCACUUCAUUGUCAACUCCAUUGCAUUCAUGAUUUUAGCAUCACAGCUAAGCAUAUUUUUAGUUGAUGGUCUGAAACUCUUUGCCUGGGUCAUAGGCAGAGAGUCUCACACAUUUUUUUCUGUUAGAAAAUUUUCAUAUCACCAUCAACCCAUGCUUUAUUAGUUUAUUUACUUAGCCAGCAGCUGCUUCUCAAUAGGCCAGCUUAGGAGGCAUUUUUCUGGCAUUAUUUUUAUGUUGCACCUUGAUUUUUGGAGGUUAACCAAUGCCAUUUUUAAUCACUGUUGGAGGUAUUUUGUCGAAGGACUCCUUUUUGGUUCCUUCAUCUUCGUCAUCUGCUUCAUCUUCUUCAUAGGUAUCAUUUCCUGAUGUUUCUCAAACUUCAGAAGCAUUUGCAUCUAUAUUUCUUAUCAUCUUCAUAAUUUCUUCAAUCCUAUUUUCCUUUCUAGUCUUUCUAGUAGGUUCUCUCUUGCACCUCCCGUGUUCUGGGAGUAACUCCUCUGUGAUUUUCUCUGGACCUCUCUUCCUGAAGGAAAACUUAGAUGAAGGGGAUUUGGGGGACAAACUACACCCCCUGUCACUCAGUUGGACUCAGGGCUGCAACUGCUACUCAUUUUCCUACUCCUCCACUACACAUUUCAAAUUCCACUUUUCUUCAGCUGUCACUUCCACAGAUCUUAGUUGUGUGACCUGGGUGUGACCCAAAUACUCAUUCCUGAUGAGAAAUGUUUAUUUGUAAUUAUACCCAUCUCACACUACACAUGCUGCACAUGUCCUUCCACAGUUAUAAUGAACUAUCAAGAGGCUCCCAAGUAGAUCACCUAGGGUCCACAUAUUUUUCCCAGCCCUUCCUCCUCCUGUUGAUCUAGGUCAAUUGCCCCUGCCAAGAUGGGGACUCCUCUUUUUGCCUGCCAGUGCCUGGACACAAAGAGUCCAAAGUGCCCAAAGAGUAGCCAUAGCUUGUAGUUCAGUGGGACCCUUGUUGUUACCCUUGGCAAAAAAAAAAAAAAAAGCACCCCCUUUGGAGACCAGGACUUCUAAAUCUUCGAGAGUUUUGGGAACAGGAAGCACAAAGUUCCCCUAUGAGUCAUUAGGAUUGAUGUUAAGUGGGGCUAUUUCUGCUUCCUCUGCUUUUUUCCUGGACCUAUGUAUUCUUCCUAUUAGGCACAGUGCUUCUAGAGCUCUCUGAUUUAGUGUAUUUACCGUAUCCUGAAGGAUGGCACUCCAUCGUUACAGAAUAUUGCCUCUGAACUGGCACUUUGAAAGCUGCACCUUCAGUAAGUUGCCCAGUGCUCUAUCAGGCUGGCUGCUCUGGAUGGUGCAGUAUGUAAUACAACCAGUAGAUCCCUUGGUAAUGAACUCACACCCAUACUACUUUUACUAUGAAGUGGGUCUCCUGUUUGGAUACUGUUGAGUUGGAUACUACACCUGUGGAUCAGGCCUUCUUUAAGCCCCUGGAUAGUGAUAUGGGCUGGGGCUCUGACAGCAAGAAAGGCAAACCCAUACCCACAAUACAUAUUUAUCCCUGUGAGGAUGAACUGAUGGCCACUCCAGAAUGAAAAGGGCCCAAAUGUUGUUUACUUGCCACCAAAUUGCUGGUUUAUCAUCUCAAGUGAUAGUGCCAUAUCAGGGACUCAGUGUUGGUCUCUGUGGCUGAUAAGUUAGAAAUUCAGGAAUAAGUAGCUAGAUUGGCUUUACAAGUAGAAAUUCAUGCUGUUGGGCUUACGUGUAGCCUCCACCUCUGCAAACAUGGCUAUUCCAUUCAUGUACCAUUAUGCCAAUUCUGGAAUAGAUUAUGACAAAGCAUGGCUCACAUCAACUGGUAGAAUAUUUUUGCCUAGUUGGUUGUUCAGUUCCUCUGCCACGGUGAAUGCUUUCUGGUCAGAAUGGACAUGUCAUACAAAAAUCCUCACCCUUUGUGCCCACUCUCAUAUGUCCAUCUCCACAUACCUCUUCUCCAGACCUCCUCUUCUCCAAUCUUCCAGUCUUUUCCUUCAGGAUCCUGAACACCUGGCCAGGCCAUUGCUACUGCCCAGGAAUCUGUAUACAUUCUCACCACCGGUCACUUCUCCAUCCAUACGAAGUGAAUGACCAGGUACAUUGCUUGAAACUUUGCCCACUAGGAAGAUUUUUCCUUCUCUACUGGCUUUUAGGGCCACCCCUGAAUGUGGCUAUAAAGUGUAGCCAUCCAUUUUCAAUUUCCACCCACAUACCAAGCUAACCCAUUCAUAAAUCAAGCCUGUGCUUUCUCCUCCUCCCUCAGCUGGCCAUACAUGACGCCCUCUAUGGCCAGUGCAGCCUGAGGAAAGGGUGCUGGUAUAACCAUGGUAGGUGAUAUGGGUACUGGGCAACUAGCUCAUGCAGUUUAUUCAUGCCCUCUGGUCCUAUCUGGGUCUGAUUUUGAAUGCAUCAUUUCUAUAUUAUGAUGAUAUGCUGUUGGGCCCAUUAACUCUAUAACUGAGUAUGUCCAACAGAAUUCAGCUCAUGAUGGACACUUCUGAACACAUGGAAACUUAGUACCCCAUAGUAAAGGUUCCGCCUCUACUAGGGCCUACUACCACACCAGGGACUGUUUCUUGAAAGAAGUAAAGUCCUCUGCUGCAGAUGGCAUGGCCUUGCUCCAAAACUGUAGAGGCCUACAUGGUGAUCUUAUUGUAAACUCAAGGCUUCAGAGCUCCUUGCUUCUCCAGGCUGUACUCACAGUAGUCAACCUUCCACACAUUGCCUAGGAUAUGAACCAGAGCAGUAUUCCUAGGUGUGAAAUUUGUUUCUUCCAAAACCCAAAAAGGCCCAGCAAGCAUUGUGCUUCAUUAUAGCAAGGGAUGCAAGAUGUAGAAAUCUGUCUUUUACCCAAGAUGGGGGAUGUCUCCACAAACCACUGACUAUAGGACCUUGAAAAACUUUACAGAAGUGGCAGAUCCUUGAAUCUUCUAGGAUUUAUGUCCUACCCUCUUGAUGCAUGUGUCUUACCGGGGCCUCUAUCAUAGAAACUACCUCUUGCUCAUCCUGUUCAGUUAGCAUAUUAUUGAUAUAUCAUUGUGAUGUUCUGCAGAAUAUCCAGUGGAUAUAGUACAUAUCCACUCAGAAUGUAUUACAUUAGAGGGUGGAAGAGUUAACAUAGUCCUUAGACAAAACUGGCAAUAAAUAUUGUCACCUCCAAGGUGAAUGUGAACUGCUUCUUAUCCCUAUUUCUGAUUAGAAUAUAAAAGAAUGCAUUCACCAAAUCAAUGACCACAAACCAUGCACCUAAGGCCUUAUUAAUCUGCCCUAGAAAUAAUACCACAGCUUCAAAAGGGACUACUACUACUUGGCUAAGCUUGCUGUGAUAGCCUACAUUUGCUCUAUAGGAUCCAAACUGGUACUGAUCACCACUAUUUCCCCUGGGACACAAUAUCAUUUUUUAUUUUUUAUAUUUUCUGGGGUGGGGAACAAUUUCAAUGGCUUUCAGCUGAUCUUCCUCAUUAUGAUAGCUAACAGCCCAAGGACCCAAUACUUCAACUGCCAAGGAUGUCUAUUAUAAUUAUAUACUCAGAGACAAGAGAAAUGACCAGCAGGUGGUUGGGUCUGCGGACCCAGUAAAUUUACUGUAAGCCAGACUUUAGUUAGGAUUCUCUUACCUGUUCUCAUAAGCCCCCACUCCAACAGAACAUGAUGAUACUUUGGGUUUCCAGUUAUAAAAGUCAACUCAGUCCGUAGGUCCAAAGCACCUUGAAAUGACUAGGUACCCUCCUUUCCCCAGUAUAAAUGCCCUACCCAAGUAAAUGCCCUAGGUCCUUUUGGGGAAUGACAGGAGGGAUUAUAUGCUUGCCACAAUGUUGCAGAGUCCUUCUCCUAGGGACCUAGAUCUGAACUUUUGCUCAAAUUCAGGAACUAACCAACAGAUUGUGACAUUUUAUUGAGAUGACUGCCCUUAGCCUCCUGGCCCUCCAUUCUUGCCUUCUUCUAAUUGUAGAUGUUAAGCAGCACUCUUAAUUUCUGCCUAUUUUGCCCCUAUGGUAGGGUAACCAACUUGUCCCGGUUUUCUGUAAGUUCCAAGAGAGGCCUCUGUUUCUCACACUUAGGAUUUAACUGUUUGUAAACAGCCUUCAGUUUCUCAUUCUCUCUCUGCAGGCCAUCAAUACAAUUUAGUAAUAAGCAGCCAACUCCACCAUCCUUGUAAGCGUUGCUCUCUUGAUGUCUUUCAAAUGCCCAAAUUAUUAUACAGGCAGGGGUGCUGUUCUUCACACUGGGAUUUUUCCCAGGCCUCCACCAGUGAAAUCUUCAGCAGUUGAGCCUCCACCUUAUGUCAAAUACUGCCUGUGUCCCACAUUCCAUUCAGGAUGGGGUCACCCUUGCCAGUUGGUUGGUAAGUGAUGGACUCCCUAAACCCUGUCUAACCAUUUGCUGUCUAAGGUUACUCCCAGAUUGUCACUUUGAGUCUUCUAUAAAGCAGACAUCAAGACAAAAUUGGAUUUUCAAGUGAUUUAUUGGGUAAAAUGCCUGUGAACAAUAAAGAGGUGAGGGAGAAUCAGCAGGCAGGAAGAGCCUGCAGACUGACACCUGUGAAUGAAGAAAAGGAAGGAAAGAAGAAUAAGUAGGAAGAGCCUCAGGCUGCAAUGCAGCUCUGUGAAAGUCUCAACCAGGACUAUUGAGAGUCUCCAGAAUAAAGAUUGCCUGUUAGAGGAAGCCAUGUUGGGCAGGAAUGGUCUGCCUUCACCAUAUGCAGUCAUUGGCUGAGAGAAACCCAGGAAAAGUAUGUCCUCAGCAUGAAUCCUGCAGUGAAUUUUGAAGGUGUGGCAGGAAGAGGCUGUCCAAACUUACCACAUGUUCCCUCUUGAAAGGGAGCUAAGCAGCACAUUCCCAUAGCUGCCACAGUGACACAUAACAGAGAAUUUCCCCUUAAGUUUCAUAUAUUCAGACAGACAUUAAUAUGUGUUUAAAAAUAAAACCUCACUUUACCAUUA